GUUGUAUGGUUAAGUGACUAAGCGUACACGGUGGAUGCCUGGGCAGUCAGAGGCGAUGAAGGACGUACUAACUUGCGAUAAGCGCAGAUAAGGCAGUAAGAGCCGUUUGAGUCUGCGAUUUCCGAAUGGGGAAACCCAACUGCAUAAGCAGUUACUGUUAACUGAAUACAUAGGUUAACAGAGCAAACCGGGGGAACUGAAACAUCUAAGUACCCCGAGGAGAAGAAAUCAACCGAGAUUCCGGUAGUAGCGGCGAGCGAACCUGGAUUAGCCCUUAAGCACUCGGUGAAGUAGGUGAACAAGCUGGAAAGCUUGGCGAUACAGGGUGAUAGCCCCGUAACCGACGCUUCAUCGAGCGUGAAAUCGAGUAGGGCGGGACACGUGAUAUCCUGUCUGAAUAUGGGGGGACCAUCCUCCAAGGCUAAAUACUCCUGACUGACCGAUAGUGAACCAGUACCGUGAGGGAAAGGCGAAAAGAACCCCUGUGAGGGGAGUGAAAUAGAACCUGAAACCGUGUACGUACAAGCAGUAGGAGCACCUUCGUGGUGUGACUGCGUACCUUUUGUAUAAUGGGUCAGCGACUUAUAUUCAGUGGCAAGGUUAACCGUAUAGGGGAGCCGUAGCGAAAGCGAGUCUUAACUGGGCGCUCAGUCUCUGGAUAUAGACCCGAAACCGGGUGAUCUAGCCAUGGGCAGGUUGAAGGUUGAGUAACAUCAACUGGAGGACCGAACCGACUAAUGUUGAAAAAUUAGCGGAUGACUUGUGGCUAGGGGUGAAAGGCCAAUCAAACUCGGAGAUAGCUGGUUCUCCCCGAAAGCUAUUUAGGUAGCGCCUCGGACGAAUACUACUGGGGGUAGAGCACUGUUAAGGCUAGGGGGUCAUCCCGACUUACCAACCCUUUGCAAACUCCGAAUACCAGUAAGUACUAUCCGGGAGACACACGGCGGGUGCUAACGUCCGUCGUGGAGAGGGAAACAACCCAGACCGCCAGCUAAGGUCCCAAAGUAUUGCUAAGUGGGAAACGAUGUGGGAAGGCUCAGACAGCUAGGAUGUUGGCUUAGAAGCAGCCAUCAUUUAAAGAAAGCGUAAUAGCUCACUAGUCGAGUCGGCCUGCGCGGAAGAUGUAACGGGGCUAAGCAAUACACCGAAGCUGCGGCAAUGAAGUUUACUUCAUUGGGUAGGGGAGCGUUCUGUAAGCCGUUGAAGGUGAAUCGUAAGGUUUGCUGGAGGUAUCAGAAGUGCGAAUGCUGACAUGAGUAACGACAAGGGGGGUGAAAAACCUCCCCGCCGGAAGACCAAGGGUUCCUGUCCAACGUUAAUCGGGGCAGGGUGAGUCGACCCCUAAGG
rnacentral:rRNA from 1 species